rnacentral:lncRNA from 1 species
AUCUAUGGUAAAUGUGACGUCAUGCCAUCCCAAAUCUAUGGCAAGUUUUGUAAUUUCCUAAACUAUGGCAGAUUUAUGUUGUUUCCGAAUCUGUGGCAAAUUUUGUGCAAAUAGAAAACAAUGCAGUACAUUUUCGACCAAUAACUUGUCUUGAGCAAGCGGAAAAAUACGACAACGGGAGCAUGUCUAUAAACAUUUGUGAAAUAAACAUUCCAUAAUGGUCGAACAAAAACAAAAAAUCAUAAAUGAUAAAUUCAUAUGCCUUAAUACAGACUUCAAGAUUAAAAUGAUGUGCUCUGUAAAAAAUAAACAUUUUUAAAUCUGUGCAUGGUACCUGUUUAACCAAUUCAUUAAACCAACUAAUAAGAAAUCUAACAAACAAGAAGGCCGCUUUUUAUAAAAAAAAAUAUAAAAAAGUAACAAAUAAAAAUAUACAGUUUGAAUUUUCAAAUAAUAUUUAUUUCAGCGAUAUCGUUAAUACAUCUUUUUUUAUUUGAUGACGAUUUAAAUCAAAUUUGUAUCCGGUAAUUUUAUAUAUUAUUUUAUAAACUUUGCCAGCCGUAGACAGUAAACUACUACUAACUAGAUAUAGGAAGAUGUGGAAUGAGUGCCAAUGAGACAACUUUCCAUCCAAAUUACUAUUUAUAAAAGUAAACCAUUAUAGGUCAAGGUACGGCCUUCAACAAGGAGCCUUGGCUCACACCAAACAGCAAGCUAUAAAGGGCCCCAAAAAAUUCGUUUUUUCUAAAAUAUGCGGUACUGAAAAUAGCGGCACCAUAAUUCAUCGCGGGAUUCGGCCAGUACAGCACAUUUGGUCCAUCUUCGGAAUAAUAGGUCACAUCUUCCUUUAAACCACCAAAAAAUUGUUGUCAGGGAAAUAUCUUCAUCUCGAAUGGUGUUCAAAUCUACGGGUUCCGCCAUCGUGAGCGGCGUCGAAGAUCAAAUAUGGCGUUAUAUUCAAUUGUGACGUUAUACGGUACCCUUUCCCCAAGAUCUGCCAUAGAUUUGGAGUAAACAAAAAUCUGCCAUAGAUUUGAGUUGUUUGGCGUUUGUAAUGUCACAUUUACCAUAGAUUAGAAAUCUGCCAUAGAUUUGGAACCCGCCAUAGAUUUGAGUCC